rnacentral:lncRNA from 1 species
UGUUUAGUAGAAAGACAAUCCUUUUUUCUUCCAGUCAAUUUUUUCUUUGAUCUACAGAACUUGCUUCUUUUCUCUGAAGUUUUCACAAUACAGCAUGAUAGAAGGAGCACAGAGUGCCAGAGGCAGGGAAUUCCUAUGCUUCACUAGUGACUCAUAAGAAAACUUAAUAGAAGGUCUCUACUGCCUGCUGGCCCUGCAGUACCUGAUUGAUGUGGUCCCAAACUAAAGUAGGCUAACCUUCAUUGAACCAAGCACUUCAGAGCCAUGGGAAGAAGUAUGGGGGAAGGAGUCCUUGUACUCUGGCAAUGAGGAAAACAAACAUUAACAGUGCAAGACACAGUGAGAGUCACAGAUCCAUGGAUGGACGAUCCUUUUGAGGACAAUAGAGGGGGAAUUUGGAUAAGUUUCCUGAGUGAGAAACCUUCCAGAUGGCAAUCUGAAAGUUAGCUGUUCCUUCUCAAAACACAGAGCUUUCUCAAGAGAAAGAUAACACCCUCUUUCAUCAGAGCGAGCGAGCUUUCUUCAUGGUGGCAAUUUCCAGUCUCCAGUGCAAGGAGGGGAAACUGAAGGAGAAUAAGGCGGUUACAUUCAGUUAGAGCCUGAGAGCAGAAUUUGGUUAGGCUGAAGCAGCUGGAAACUGUGGAAUGUAAUACCAGAGAGGAGACUGCCACACAAAGAACUCUAAAAAUUUUGAUUUUCAGCAAACCUUCAGAAGGCAAAAGGGAAAGUUUUCCCAUGGGCCAACGUGGAUAUGUUUCUGUAAUAGUCUGCUCAGCCUUCUACAACAAGAUGUCGCAGACUGGGUGACUUAAACCAGGGAUCCUCAAACCCUGGCAAUGGAUCGGUACGGGUCAGUGGCCUGUUAGGAAUCAGGCCACGUAGCAGGAGUCCAUAUUUGGAAUAACAACAAUAUAACACUCCUUUGGUAGUUAUAUUUUCUCACCUUCUUUACAGAAGAAGAAAUCCUUACUUAGAAAGGAAAAGAAUACCUCGAAAUUUGUCACUUUGGACUUCAAACAGAGCAGCUGAAGAGCAGCAAAGGCAGGGAAAGGGCUUUCUCUGAUCUACCCUUAACCGACUAAGACACUGUAUUAGGAUCUGGUGACAUAGUGGGAUAGAAGGACAAAGCCACGCUCUUAUGAAGCUUACAUUCUAGGAUAAUUCUUUGCCAUAAACAUAAACCAAACACUUCCACUAGAAAUGCUGACCAAUGCCUGGAUUCUCUGGAAGAAAACUGAUUUUCCUUUCAAAAAAUGUCAAAAGGAAAACUUUCAGGCUGUCACUUAUGGCCUGUAUUUCUAGAACCUGGCCCAAUUUGGCUACUGCAAGGCUUUGUGAACACAGCCAUCCAGAGGAUGCUGUUUAGAGGGAAGGAGCUCAUUCUAGGGGAAACCAGCUGCCAUAUUAAGAAAACAGUCCUAUGGAAAGGGCCAUGGAACAAAGAAGUGACUUCUGCCAACAACCUCAUGAGUGAACCUAGAAGUGGCUCAUCUAGUCCUGGUCAAAUCUUAUGGACUGUGGCUCCAACUGAUAGUGUGACUGUAACUUCAUAAGAGACGCUGAACCAGACCACCCAAUAAGACACUCCCAGAUUCCCUACUCUCAAAAGUUGUGUGAAAUAAUCACCCCCAGUUGUAUUAAACUGCUAAGUUUUGGGGUAGUGUGUUACACAGCAAUAAAUCAUAAAUACAACAUCCAAGCAAUAAAUUUCUAUGAUAAAUAC